rnacentral:rRNA from 1 species
GUAGGGAAUCUUGCGCAAUGGGCGAAAGCCUGACGCAGCCAUGCCGCGUGAAUGAUGAAGGUCUUAGGAUUGUAAAAUUCUUUCACCGGGGACGAUAAUGACGGUACCCGGAGAAGAAGCCCCGGCUAACUUCGUGCCAGCAGCCGCGGUAAUACGAAGGGGGCUAGCGUUGCUCUGAAUUACGGGGCGUAAAGGGAGCGUAGGCGGAUAGUUUAGUCAGAGGUGAAAGCCCAGGGCUCAACCUUGGAAUUGCCUUUGAUACUGGCUAUCUUGAGUAUGGAAGAGGUAUGUGGAACUCCGAGUGUAGAGGUGAAAUUCGUAGAUAUUCGGAAGAACACCAGUGGCGAAGGCGACAUACUGGUCCAUUACUGACGCUGAGGCUCGAAAGCGUGGGGAGCAAACAGGAUUAGAAACCCUAGUAGUCC